CAAUGAGUUAUUUUUCAAAUAGCACAAUGAGUGGCUCGCUUUUUCAGAAUGCAUUCAGUAAAAGGUAACGUCAAAAGAAUUUACUUUUUAAUUGAACAGAUCAAUUUUUUAACUGUUCAGACUAUCCUCUCCCAUCCUUUGGUUUUGUCAAGUUUUCUUUUGUAAACUCUGAAAGGUAUUUCAUUCACACACACACACACACACACCCCUCCCAUUGUCUUCUAAUCAUUAGCUUGAUGGAACAUCAACCAAAGAUCCUGAGGUAUUAACCAGCAGUCUUCUUAACAAAGGUACAUUGAGAGACUGUAAUGAUUUAAUGAUUGACUCUUUUCAUUUUAAAGUUGCAAGCAAAACUGGUGAGGUAGCCCGGAUAUCAAGUUAGACUUGGACCCCUUUCUGGGAGGUCAGAAUCAAAUGUCUUGCUCAGUCAGGUAGAUCAGCUUUCAACCCAUCCUUUGUUGUUCUUAACUGCCAUCAAGUUGACUUGGAUUUACGGCAACUUUAUGAGCAAGAGAUCUUCAAAUCACCCUCUCAUCCAGAGGUUUUGCAGAUUGUUUUCUAGUGUCAAGUCUCAGAGUCGCUGAAGAAAUGCUGUUUGACAAAUAUAUGCUUAACCCAUCCUAUGCUGCAAGAAGAUCCAACCAGUCCAUCCUCCAGGAAAUAAUGCCAGGCUGCUCACUGGAGGGAAGGAUAUUAGAGACAAAGAUGAAGUAUUUUGGCCACAUCAUGAGAAGACAGGAAAGCUUGGAGAAGAGAAUGAUGCUGGGGAAAAUUGAAGGAAAAAGGAAGAAGGGCAGACCAAGGGCAAAAUGGAUGGAUGGUAUCCUUGAAGUGACUGACUUGACCUUGACGGGGGUGGCAAUGGCUGACCGGGAGCUCUGUUGUAGGCUGGUUCAUGAGAUCACAAAGAGUUGGAAGCAACUGAUUGAGUAAACAACAACAUGCCACAAUAAAGAUUUUUUGAAAACA